rnacentral:rRNA from 1 species
GGUGUACCGGUUGUGACGCCAGUCGCAUCGCCGGGUAGCUAUGUUCGGAAGGGAUAACCGCUGAAAGCAUCUAAGCGGGAAGCCUACCUCAAGAUAAGAUUUCCCUAGGACUUUAUGUCCUCUAAAGAGCCGUUCGAGACUAGGACGUUGAUAGGUUGGAUGUGGAAGCAUAGUGAUAUGUGAAGCUGACCAAUACUAAUUGCUCGUGAGGCUUGACUAUACAACACCCAAGCAGUUG